rnacentral:rRNA from 1 species
UGGGGAAUAUUGCACAAUGGGGGAAACCCUGAUGCAGCAACGCCGCGUGGAGGAUGACACAUUUCGGUGCGUAAACUCCUUUUAUGUGGGAAGAUAAUGACGGUAUCACAUGAAUAAGCUCCGGCUAACUCCGUGCCAGCAGCCGCGGUAAUACGGGGGGAGCAAGCGUUACUCGGAAUCACUGGGCGUAAAGAGCAUGUAGGCUGGUAGAAAAGUUGGAAGUGAAAUCCUGUGGCUUAACCAUAGAACUGCUUCCAAAACUCUCUACCUAGAAUAUGGGAGAGGUAGAUGGAAUUUCUGGUGUAGGGGUAAAAUCCGUAGAGAUCAGAAGGAAUACCGAUUGCGAAGGCGAUCUACUGGAACAUUAUUGACGCUGAGAUGCGAAAGCGUGGGGAGCAAACAGGAUUAGAUACCCCCGUAGUCC